GUUUCUCCAAGCCCUCAGACUUGUAACCUGAGACAAAAGCCCUCUCUUUCUCUCGCUCUUCUCUUCCCACUCUGCCAGCUGAAGUACUGGUUUUCACAGGAUGGAUUGAUGAUAUUCCUGCUUACACAAACUAUGGGUGGCAACUGAGCCUUCCAGUCUGUAACUGUCUGAACUCAAACAGUCCUAAUAUUAAUAUUCUUAAUGGCAAGGCUUUCAUUUUGGUUUCUUUUCCGUGGCCUGAGACUUAUCCCUCAUUCUCCAGUUACUGAUACAUAUCUGAUGUGCGCCCAGCAGGUAACUGCUAGGAGUCACACUAGGUCAAGCUCACUUUGAAAAAAGGGAGAAGGGUUAAAGGGAGGAAAGGAAAACUCCAUUUCUCACAUCUCUUCAUCCUGUCCCAGCUUUAUUCAGUAUCACUCAGCCCACAGUAAUUUCUUUAAUCAAGUUUACCAAAACUGCCGCUAUCUUUCCUUUGCUUUUUAUGUGGCUCAACUCAGACAUGACAUGGAGUUUUUAUAGUGAAUCUGUGCUAGCAAUGUAGUGCAGACGUUCAUUUCCCCAGAUCCCUCGGGGCGGCAGGCACAGCUUUGCUGAGGUGUCUGGGGGAUGGGAGCUGUUGUGCAGGAGGAGGCACAUAACACUGCUGGGUCCUGUGAACUUGCCCCCCAGUUCACAGGACCCACACCCACAUGUCCUGUGGCUCAGGGGCUCUGGGCUGCUCCAUACCUCAGAGACAGAAGUUUGCAGGUGUAAGUUGCUGGAAGCUGCCCAGGGGUAUCUCAGUUUUGCAGCACGUGAUAUGGACUGAAUGGAGCAUGCAACUGUAUGCCAGCAGGGUCCUGAAAUACCAUUUUGGGCAGUUCCUGCUGACUUACAGCUUCCUAUGGCUGAAGAUCUGAAUUAUCCAGCUUUUCCAGCAGCACAGUCCUGGUGCCAGACGUGUGAUAUAGUUCGAGCAUGGGAGCCAUACUUAAUCUGCUUAUCACCAUCGUGAAGCUAAGUGUCACAGGUUGGCCAGCCCCACGCUGGGUGUAGGAUUGGCUUUCUGACGUUGUUUCUCAUGUAUCACCAUUGCAAAGCCUGUGCCUGAGCACGUCUUCUGGUGAGGUGAGGGUGCAGAGGGAUCCAGCCAAGUCAGCCCAUUUGAGCAAAUGGAGAGCAGGAUUUACAGCAGCCAGCAUGCUGAGUAAGAAACACUUGGGAGGUUUGAGAGCCCUCUGGGAGCUGUGCCCUUCCUGGGAGUCAGCACAUAACGGAGAUCCAAAGUCGUACCAGGAUUUAAAUCUCUUCAGUUGGAGGGCCACAGUGCCAGAGUGAGGGCAGUCCUCCAUGAAACACAGCCUCAAGAGGAGGCAGAUGUAUGCCCAGAUCUGUAGAAAAUAGACUCAUCAUUCAAGUGCUCUUCCAAUGUGGGUGAGGUGUGGUACCUAGUUGGCUGGAUGAGCUCAAGUUCAUCCCAUGGGACCACUCUAACGAGCAGCACUUUGCUUUUGUCCUGGAAGUCUGUGUGCUCAGCUCAGUGCGAGGGGAGGGAGCCAAAGGCAGAAACUGCUCAGCUCUGCCUGAGCUGGUGAUACAGCUUCCUUUAUUAACUUGAGUUUGUGGUCUUAGUCUGAUGUUUUCAAUAUGUAAGAAUGACUCCAUUAUUUAAGACAAAUCAGACCUUCAGCAGUGAUCAGUGUUGUCUGCAGAGAUAUAUUUUCUCACCUGUACCCCACUGAGUCAGGAGCACCCUUCUAGCCCCUCACUCGGAGCCAAAAUCCAAGAGUAUGUCAUGUGUAACUGCUGAUGCUGGUGUUUUUCCUGGAGUGCAAUGAGGACUGUGCAUGUCAGUACCACCUGUUCCUCACCACUGUUCUUGUCAGUUUUCAAGAGUACCUACAGACUUCAUCUGAGGACAGAUUUUGGACAAGAAAAAUAGCUGGAGAUUGGCUCCUCACGUGAAGAACUUGUGCCUUAAGGAAGCAAGACAGGCAAAGCUACGGAGAGGAACAGAGCAGUGGAAUGAUUUAUUCAGGGUCACAGUGCAGGUCAGUGGCAAAGCCAAGAUCAGAGUCUACCUCCUGAUUUGUGCCAAGCCAUCAUGUAGAGCAUGGCCACAAAAAUGAAUGUUUCAGAAAUAUAUGUGCAAUAUAUAUGUAGGAGCUCACUAAUAUUGGAGAAUAUCCACUUACAACAAGGAGUCUUACCGACCAACCUUAAUAGCCCCUCCUUCUGCUGGCAUUGUUUCUCAUUACGUUCCAAAAGCUUGCGCAGUUCACCAGCUCUUCAUUCUGGGCUUUCCACUGCUUGCUAACACCAGAGGGGCUUCCACACGUCUUAUGGUAACAGCCUUUUAUUUGCCAAAACCUCUUCAGUGAGAUGACAGAUAAUGGGAGGAAUUCAGAUACGUUUAAAAUAUACUUCGUUUUAACAGCACCGAGACACUUAACUUGUCAGCAAUCCAAUUAUUAAUCAGAUUAAUGGACUUUUAUAAAUCCACUGCAUCCUCAGGACAAUUGCUUGGUUUAUGUUUCAUGCAUACAGAAUAAGGCUGCUCAUGAGCUAUAAGAACUUUUAAUAUGGAAACCAAGACUAAGAAGUAAUCCUUGGCUCGCUCUGCUACCACACCUUGCAUGCAAGAAUGCUGAUCAUUGCUGUAGGAGCAUCAUUUAAUUAAGGUUUUUAAUUAUUAUUAUUUCUGAGCAUAAUGCUAUUGAAGAAAAUCUGUCAGCAUUUAAUUAAGGACUAAAUACAGUCAUUCUUUCUAGCUGGUUCAGUAUCCACUUAGAAUUCCUAGGCAGCCAAAAGAGGAUACAGGUGGUAACAACAUUAAAGAUGUUUUUGUAUGGAAGUGGGGAUCUAAUUUGUUUCUGGAAAUUAAAUUUAUAUCUGAGAUUUUUAAUAAUCGUUCAAGAGAUGUUGAGCCCCCGACUGUAUUUGGAAGUAACGGGAAGAGGUGACCCCGUCGGGUCUCCAGCUUUCUCAGGGAGAGAGGUUUUGCAAAAUAAUUCAAGUUGAUGAUGUUCAUCCAGGGCACUUUGAGCCCCUGGAAUGCAGAGCGGUGAGGCAAAAGCAGCUCAUCUGCUGCAGCUUGUCCCUAAUGUGUCACAGCCAACUGGUUGUGCCCAUUUCUUACUGAACACGGCUGCGUUCCACAUACAAGGUUUAAUCCUACUGUACUGCUUUAUAAACUAAGGCUUUGAAAAUUAACUUGAUCAAAUUCAGGAUUUCAAAGAGAAGCUGAGAAACGAGUAAGACGUGAGUUCUGACCCCCACGAAGAAGGCAGGUCCAAAGCAAAUCAUGUGAAAGUAAAUAUUAAUUACUUUCAGUUAAUUUUAGCUCAGUUCUGAAGAUCGGUGUGUUCAGAACAGCCACUUCAGAAGCCACUGAUGUCGAUGUUGUGAUAGCAUUUUCCCCUGGAGUGUGGAUCAAGAGCAAGUGAAAUUAGCAGAGGCUUUGCUAUGGAUGGAAAAAGAUGCAGGCAGGGCGCUCUGAGGACUGGGUCAUGUUGAGCACAUGCAAAAGUGCUCUCCAGAAGAAUUGUCUCAUUUUGUAUCAGACCCUAUGUAAGCAAAAAGCACAAGCACAUUUAUAUCUGUGUGGGAGUGAACUUUUUAGGUCAGGAAAGCAAAGAACUAGGAAGUAUCUUGUGACGUCCCCCUGAAGGAAAGCCAGUAACAGAGGUUAUAUAUGUUACCUCUUCAUUUGACCAAUUUAAGCUUAAUUAUAACUCAGUCUGCACUUCAGCAUCGUUACUACUGAAACUUGCUUGUACACCUUUGUGCACUGCCUCCAAAGUGCUGCACAGCCUGACGAGCAGGGCCAGCUCACUUCCUGCUGCGGGAGUCCUGGGAGCAGAAAUAAUAAAUAACCAACCGCUCCAAAGGAGCCAUUAAACUUUUUCCAUCUCGGAUGAAGUAAACAGAUAUUGUACCUGGAAAUGCAAAGUCGUUGUCAAGUCCGUGUGUGUGUUUAAUCACUGUAUAUAUUUCCCCUGGAAUGAUUUAUUAGUUCCCUUUGUAGUUCUGUCACAGAGUUUACUUGCCAUUUCAACCCGAAAUAGCCAUUAAAUCAUUUUUUUCUCCUAGCAAGAGGUAAAUCUGUACUAUUUGCUGAUUUGUUUAUUGCUGUCUGGAAAGUUAAUCCUUCUCAAAGUCGGAGAUUUUAAAUAUGGCAGAUCGUCUUAAAGCUACAGACCACUCGUAGGGGUGACAUUAUGUGUGUUCCGAGAAAUGCAUUUUGAGUCCUACAAAUGAGUCCUUUAGUAAUACCCAGGAGUCAUAAUGUCUGUGACAUAAUGAACCCUCCUAAAUUACAGCCUACACUAAUUAGAUCGGUUCUUGCUACAUUCCAAUCUGUGAAACAAUUUACUGAAGAGGUGGUUACCUGCACUGAGCAGACACAGGGCUGUGUGUCAGCCACAUUUCUCCUCCGACCCCGAGCGCCACUGUGCUGCUGUCCUUUUGCAGGUGGCUGUGGGCAUCUGGUGCUCUGGAAGGCAUGGCAGCCCCGUCUUCCUGUUGCCGGUGCCAUUUAUGUGAUUAUUCUUCCGCUAUGUCUUCUCCGUUAAAUAUAUUUUGUCUCUUCAUUACAUCUUUCUUUACGUACUUGGUGGUAUGAUCAUAUUAUUACCGCUCACGUAAAGGAGUAUAUUCCCUCCUGCUGCCUCGUCUUUGUGCUCCCUCCUGCUCAUACGGCAUAAACCCCCGUGCUGGGGUGACGCUCCUGACCAAAGGCACGUGAAUCUUGGUGGGGAAAUGCUGCUUUGGACUCUGUGCCCGACCAAACUGUCAGUAAUUUUGCUGAGAACAGACAUCGGCAGGAGGCUGCUCUUGCACUGCGAGAGCUGGCACCGAGCUCUCAGCGGUACGAGCCGUCUGCUGGUCGCUCAGUGCUGCCUGCUUGGAAAUGGGAGCAGACAAAGGUCCAGACCAUGGCAUUGUGACAUACAUCUCAGCUUCAAGGCCAGAUCACUGCAGUGUGCCCCCAAACCCACAUGGCUGGGGCUGCUGCAGCGGGAGGAGAAGCUGGUGAACCCUGCACUUGGCAAAUGGCACUAGCAGGAAUUGACAUGGGAGACAACCAAGCUGCAGACUCCAGAGUAAGCAAUCGCAUGAAGGAAAAAAAUAGAUAUUAAUAUAGUUUAUUAACCUCCUUAGCUACUGAGGUUGAUGUAAUAAAACGGAUUAAUCAGCUGGUGGGAGAGUUUCUUUAUUUUAUAAAAUCAACAUCAAACAAGAUUUUCAGGGGGGAAAGGUUCUGUCCCAAAUCACUCGCCCAGCAAACAUCUCUGCGUGAAGCCCUCCACAGAAGCGAGGAGUGGGCUGUUUUAUUUUUGAUAAGCCAGGUGGACAAGAGCUCAUCUUCCCACAGUAACCCAGCGACUCAUGAGCCACAAGAGCUCUGGGUCUUAGGGCACAAACUGCCUUCAGAUAAACAGCAGUGCUUUCCAUGUGCCAGUGCCUUAACGAGGAACAAAGCCGAACAGAACAGACCGUAAUAAAAGUGCUCUUUCCAGCACGUGUGUAUGUGGCUGCUCUAUGCUGAAAAUGUCCUUUAGCACUUUUUAACCAUAUUCUCUAGCUGUGUCAGCAAAGAGACUCCAUCAGAGUAUUUAACAUUGCUGGGAGCAAAGGAAUAAAGUGGAGUCACUGUUGAUUAUUACUCAUUAGCCACAAGGACAUCCACUUAACAUGUGAAUAAAUGAAUGACACCAUGUCCUAAUGGAAAUGGCCUCGGAGUACCUUUAAGCAAAAUGUUGUUUAAUAUCUUCCAUUUGCUGAAUAGAAAAGAGGCCUGUUGGACAUGCAUAGCUUAGCAAGCAGCCAUUGUUGCUUUGUUCCAAUUUCAGCAUUUAAUAAAAAAAGACGUUGUCCCGAGCGCAGCGAGGGCUGGCCCCAAAAACGUGGGUAGCAGCACAGCCUCCUCCUCACCCUGCAAAUUCACCAGCAUUGUGAAGGGUUAAUAUCCUAUAAAGCAAAUGAACCCUUGGAAGGUGCGUGUUCUUCAUUAUGCUGCUUUACAUUCAAACAUAUAAAACAAAGAGCAUCUGAUAUCUUUAUUGGUUCUCUUAGAUAAAAUGCAAGCAAGCUAUAAGCCUUAAUUUUCUUAUUACCAUUUGUUAACAAGGAAGAUAACGCUCUCAAAAGUAUUUGAUUAGGACUCCCUUUGAUUUGUAUCUCGUCGUGAUUUUCAGGGCAUAUAUUUUUGUAUUACUCCUCCAGUACACUGAUAGUUCUGAUCAAAGCGAUAAAAAGAGGCAUUUUAAAACUGUGAGUGUGAACCGUACAGGUACAGCUCACAGCCUGAGCAGCACCCGAAGGCUCCGUGCUGGAGCACGCCUGGGAAACAAAUCACAGCGAUGCACGUCCCUAUCCGAGAGCCGCGGGCUGGGAGCCCUUCUGCUCCCCAGCCCUCUCAGCAGGAACUUUCGUCAUUUGCAACUUUUUUCUUUCAGUUUCUAAAACGUAGCUACUGAGAACAGUUGGGCAUAGCGCUAAAGCUAUUUGCUGUAUCAAAUAUCUAAACGCUCGUGAUCAGAUCCGUACCAGAAUACCCCUUUCCAGCUUUAACUUCCCGAGGAAAAUGAAAGCAAGCGCAUGAGCUGACGCGUCAGAUCUGGGGGGUUAUUUUCAUGCCCGUUCCGACUCCUGGCUGUAAAAACUAUGCGUGUGUCGGAGCCUUUACCUCAUGGUUUCCGUUCCUCCUGCACACGGCUGGCUGCACGGGGCACCUCUCAGCAUGGGGCUGCCUCCUGCCCUGCCCCACACUGCCCACUCGGCCCUGCACGGCCACCAGCCCCAGCCCCGUCCCACUGCUCCGCACUGCGCUCCUCGGGUGCAGGAAGGCGCAGGCAGGAGAUGAUUACAUCAAUCAGUGUCAGGGCUGGGAGCUGUGAUUUAUGAAUAUGCAUAAUGAGCUCUCACCUUUGAGAAGGACUAGCUAGGGAGAUAAUUGAUUAGACAGGAAAAGAGCAGCCAGCAGCGAGGAGGGAGGAGGAGAGGCCUCUCGGAGCUGUCGCGGGCCGGGCUGGGGCUGUGGGAGGCCGUCAGGCUGUGCGAAGUGAUUGCUAAAAAAAACACGAGCAGGGUUUUUAGUGUUUUGUUGAAACACACGUAGCAAAAUGUUUCCUCUGCCAAAUGAAUGGGAAUUUUCUCCACUUGGGGAACCCCACGAGCACCACCACGGCUGCUGUCCCCCGGGGAGCCGCGCUCCCACUGCCGGGAGCUGCGGGCGGCAGUCGCAGUGCUGCAGCCGAGCUCAGCACCAGCAGCCCGUGAGCAGGGGAUGCUGCGAUGCCGGGGGGUCGGGGGGCUGUCAUUAUUUUCUUCCACCCCCUUUUAAGUGUCUGUCUGACCACUGGGUGAAAGUUUCUAUGGAAAAGCUACCAGGACGCCCAGAGGAAGGGGAUGUGGAAAGUUCACCUCUAGCUCUGUCCCCCACCCCUCCCAUUUUACAUGACAUUAAUCUUUGUUGGGUUGUUUUUUUUUUUUUUUUCCUUUUUCUUUCCCUCAGCAAGAACUGGCAAAGGGGAAAGCAAAGACACAAAGUGCAGAGAGACGGGGUAACAUUUACAUGAGAAACAAUCCGCUCUCCAGCACCCACCCACGGCGCUUCCCCUCGUUUCAGGAGCUGUUGGAGCGCAGGAAGGGAACGGUUCCUGGCAGAGGGACAGCACUGCGAGGAGGCCGACGCGUUUCCAGGGCCAGGAGAGAACGUAUGUGAGAAGGGGACGUGGGGGGAAUGGGGCCGACGGCCUCACUGGGGCACGCGGCCUGCAUGGGGAUGGGGCUGUGGGACACGCGAUGCACACACAAACAGACGGCUAUAGGUGUGAGCACACACACACACACGUAUUGCUGCCUACCGACGCCGAGGACGUAAGAUGCAGUUUAUGGGCCCAGCGCAACCCGCUCCUAUAAAUAAUACAUUCCGAUCACCGUGGCCUCAAAAUGUCAAUACCGCGCAGCCCCGCACAUCUGCAUAUCUCGAACUGUCUCAACUUGAAGCAUGUCAGCUAUGUGCUCCUGUUUGUACUUUAACUUCAUCUCAGCUCCGGCCGAGCCCCGCGCCGCCCCCCGCGCGGCUCCGUCACGCAGCGAUCAGCGC
ensembl:lncRNA